rnacentral:ncRNA from 10 species
ACCGUUUAACUCGAAAGAGUCGGAAGUAGGGAAAACCGAAGAAACGCACU